UUUUUCCCUCAAAUCAAGUAGGACUACCCGCUGAACUUAAGCAUAUCAAUAAGCGGAGGAAAAGAAACCAACAGGGAUUGCCUCAGUAACGGCGAGUGAAGCGGCAAAAGCUCAAAUUUGAAAUCCCCCCGGGGAGUUGUAAUUUGAAGAUUGCGUCUUGGAGGCGACCGUGUCUAUGUUCCUUGGAACAGGACGUCACAGAGGGUGAGAAUCCCGUGCGGCACGGCCCCCGGCUCCUUAUAAGGCGCUCUCGACGAGUCGAGUUG
rnacentral:rRNA from 1 species